AUACGUAGGGAGCGAGCGUUGUCCGGAAUUACUGGGCGUAAAGGGCGCGUAGGCGGCGCUUCAAGUCGUCUGUCAAAUGGGAGGGCUUAACCCUUUUUCGCAGACGAAACUGGAGAGCUUGAGAAGCAGAGAGGCAAACAGAAUUCCUGGUGUAGCGGUGAAAUGCGUAGAUAUCAGGAAGAAUACCAGUGGCGAAGGCGGUUUGCUGGCUGCAUACCGACGCUGAAGCGCGAAAGCCAGGGGAGCAAACGGGAUUAGAUACCCCGGUAGUCCUGGCAGUAAACGAUGUAUGCUGGGUGUGAGACUAGCGAUAGUUUCGUGCCGAAGUUAACGCGAUAAGCAUACCGCCUGGGGAGUACGGUCGCAAGAUUGAAACUUAAAGGAAUUGACGGGG
rnacentral:rRNA from 1 species